rnacentral:rRNA from 1 species
CCCUUAGAUGUCCGGGGCUGCACGCGCGCUACACUGUAGAAAGCAGCGUGCUUUAAAACCUUUCCUGAAAAGGAUGGGUAACCCCAGCAAAAUUCUACGUGCUUGGGAUAGAGAUUUGCAAUUUUCUCUCUUGAACGAGGAAUUCCCAGUAAGUGCGAGUCAUCAGCUCGCGUUGAUUACGUCCCUGCCCUUUGUACACACCGCCCGUCGCUCCUACUGAUUGGGUGUGCUGGUGAAAUGUUCGGAUCGGCCGUUUGUCGCGGUUUCCGCGUCAUGUGGCUGAGAAGUUCAUUAAACCCUCCCACCUAGAGGAAGGAGAAGUCGUAACA